UCCGGUUUGUCACCGGCAGUCUCCCUAGAGUGCCCUUGCGUAGCAACUAGGGACAAGGGUUGCGCUCGUUGCGGGACUUAACCCAACAUCUCACGACACGAGCUGACGACAGCCAUGCAGCACCUGUGUUACGGCUCCCUUUCGGGCACACCCAGCUCUCGCUGGGCUUCCGUACAUGUCAAGGGUAGGUAAGGUGGGGAUGACGUGUCCUUGAUAGG
rnacentral:misc_RNA from 1 species